AUAUGUAUAUAUAGAGUUUUGCUAGAAUACUAUCGGUAGUAAACGGCUUGGUUUGCUAUCGAUUUGUUUUCGAUGAUAGAGCUUCCAAAUUGAUGAUCGGCACCGUUAAACAUGAUCUAAACUAUUUAAACUAUCUGGAAAUCAAAUUUCACAUAUUUUCGAUAUCGUUCUCUUGUCCAUCAAGUGAAUAGAAAAAUGAAUGGCUGAAAAUGAAUAUCCUUCAAAAAGUGAUGAUACAAUUUUUAUAUUUGAGAUCUAGAGUCUAGAUCUUAUUUUUUAUAGUUUUAAAAAAAUUUUAACAAAAAUUUAGUUGAUUUGAACUCUUCUAUACCGUUAAACUAGUUAACGCACCAUAUCAGCCAUUAAAAUUAUAGAUUUUGUGACCCUUUGAUCGUUCAGUUAGUGAUGCCAAAAAAUCAUGAAAUUUGAUUUCUAGAUAAUUUAAAUGGUUUAGAUCAUGUUCAACGGUGCCAAUCAUCGAUUUGAAAACUCUAUCAUCAAAAACAAAUCGGUAGUAAACCGAGCAGUUUACUACCGAUAGUAGCCCAGUCAAACUCUCUCUCUCUCUCUAUAUAUAUAUAUACAGCUAGGCUCCUAUACUUUCGAAAGUACGGAAGACUCCGUAUUUGUAAAUUAUUUUCAAUAAUGGGACAUCCGAUUCGGCGAUCGGUUCCGUUAGACAUGAUCUACGCUAUUAGAACUAUCUAGAAACCAAAUUUCAUAAUUUUUUGAUUUCGUUUGUCUAGUAAACGAGUAGUCUCAAAAUAAACGGCUGAAAAUGAAAAUCUCAUAAAAAACAGUGAUAAAGAACUCAAAUUUCAAAUCGGAAGUAUUGGUCUUGCUAUUGAUGUUAAGUAAAUUUUUUUAUUAAAUUUUCAUCUAAUUUGGAUACUUCUACACCGUUGAACUUAAAAACAUGCCACAUCGGCCAUUAAAAUAGUCAUUUUGAGACCUUUUGAUCGCUUGAUAAAUGAUGUAAAAAAAUUAUAAAAUUUGGUUUCUAAAUAGUUCUAAUAGGGUAGAUUAUACUUAACGAAGUCGAUCGUCGAAUCAGAUUUUCUAUUAUCGAAAACAACUUACAAGCACGGAGAUCUCCGUAUUUUCGAAAGUACAGGAGUAU
rnacentral:lncRNA from 1 species